rnacentral:rRNA from 1 species
GAUCAAGUGUCGUAAGGGCAUUUAGUGGAUGCCUUGGCAUGCACAGGCGAUGAAGGACGUGAUACGCUGCGAUAAGCGUCGGGGAGCUGCGAAUAAGCUUUGAUCCGGCGAUCUCCGAAUGGGGAAACCCAACCUUGAUUACUGUAAUUGCGAAGCCGGGCUUUUAGCUCAGCUUUGCGCUCCGGCUUCGGACUUACAGUGAUCUUCAAAGGUUAUCUUCACCUGAAUAAAAUAGGGUGUAAGAAGCAAACGCGGGGAACUGAAACAUCUAAGUACCCGCAGGAAAGGAAAUCAAACGAUACUCCGCUAGUAGUGGCGAGCGAACGCGGACCAGGCCAGUGGCUUUGAUGAGCAAACCGGAACAGGCUGGAAAGCCUGACCGUAGUGGGUGACAGUCCCGUACGGGUAAAUUUCACAUGUGUCCUUGAGUAGGGCGGGACACGUGAAAUCCUGUCUGAACAUGGGGGGACCACCCUCCAAGCCUAAGUACUCGUGCAUGACCGAUAGCGAACCAGUACCGUGAGGGAAAG